rnacentral:rRNA from 1 species
CCUACGGGCGGCAGCAGUGGGGAAUAUUGGACAAUGGGCGAAAGCCUGAUCCAGCCAUGCCGCGUGUGUGAAGAAGGCCUUCGGGUUGUAAAGCACUUUCAGUGGGGAAGAAAGCCUUGGGGCUAAUACCCUCGAGGAAGGACAUCACCCACAGAAGAAGCACCGGCUAACUCCGUGCCAGCAGCCGCGGUAAUACGGAGGGUGCGAGCGUUAAUCGGAAUUACUGGGCGUAAAGCGCGCGUAGGCGGUCUGAUAAGCCGGUUGUGAAAGCCCCGGGCUCAACCUGGGAACGGCAUCCGGAACUGUCAGGCUAGAGUGCAGGAGAGGAAGGUAGAAUUCCCGGUGUAGCGGUGAAAUGCGUAGAGAUCGGGAGGAAUACCAGUGGCGAAGGCGGCCUACUGAACUGACACUGACGCUGAGGUGCGAAAGCGUGGGUAGCAAACAGGAUUAGAUACCCCAGUAGUC